AUUCUAGAAGUCGAAUAUCCGAGA
rnacentral:siRNA from 1 species